GCGGUUGGAGUGUGCACCGACACGUCACCAAGUGCUUCGACGAGACACGACAGCGGGUUAUCUACCAGCUGCUGUCGGGCACGGAGAGCAUCAUCGACAGCUUGUGCAAUAAGGGCUCUUUUCGGGAUAGGUACCAGAUCCACGCCCCCUGCAUGAAGAACCUGAGCACCGACACCAACGUCUGCGGCGACCAGUACAAGCGGCUCAUCCUGUCCGUGAACCCGCCGGAGAAGCUCGACUACGAGGACUCCAUCCGCCAGCAGUGUUGCGCCUUCCACAACUACCUGCUGUGCGUGACGUCAGCAGCGGAACGGGAAUGUGGAAACGAGGCGCAACUUCAUCGAGGAGUACUC